UCUAGUGGCGAUAGCGAAGAGGUCACACUCGUUCCCAUGCCGAACACGAUCGUUAAGCUCUUCAGCGCCGAUGGUAGUUG
rnacentral:rRNA from 1 species